UACGUAGGGCGCGAGCGUUGUCCGGAAUUAUUGGGCGUAAAGAGCUCGUAGGCGGCCUGUUGCGUCCGCUGUGAAAUCCCGGGGCUCAACCCUGGGCGUGCAGUGGAUACGGGCAGACUAGAGUUCGGCAGGGGAGACUGGAAUUCCUGGUGUAGCGGUGAAAUGCGCAGAUAUCAGGAGGAACACCGGUGGCGAAGGCGGGUCUCUGGGCCGAUACUGACGCUGAGGAGCGAAAGCGUGGGGAGCGAACAGG
rnacentral:rRNA from 1 species